GCUCGGGAGUGAGUCGGCGGGCGCCCUCGGCGCCGGGGAUGUGAGGAGCGAGCGGAGCCCGGGGCGGGGUGGCAGGAAGGAAGGAGGACGGACGCACCAGGAGGAGGAGCGGCGGCGGCGGCCGGAGCCGGAAGGCGGGGAGGGGCCGUCCGUUGGGCCCGAGGCGGCGGCGGCCGGGGCGGCCCGCUCUCGUCGCCUUCCCGGGCGGGAGCGGCCAGGCCCGCGCCUCCGCCCCAGCGCCGCGGAGGGGAGGAGGAAGAUGGAGACCCACAUCUCGUGCUUGUUCCCCGAGCUGCUGGCCAUGAUCUUCGGCUACCUGGACGUGCGGGACAAGGGGCGCGCGGCGCAGGUGUGCACGGCUUGGCGGGACGCCGCCUACCACAAGUCGGUGUGGCGGGGGGUGGAGGCCAAGCUGCACCUGCGCCGGGCCAACCCGUCGCUGUUCCCCAGCCUGCAGGCCCGGGGCAUCCGCCGCGUGCAGAUCCUGAGCCUCCGCCGCAGCCUUAGCUACGUGAUCCAGGGCAUGGCCAACAUCGAGAGCCUCAACCUGAGCGGCUGCUACAACCUCACCGACAACGGGCUGGGCCACGCGUUCGUGCAGGAGAUCAGCUCCCUGCGCGCCCUCAACCUGAGCCUCUGCAAGCAGAUCACCGACAGCAGCCUGGGCCGCAUAGCCCAGUACCUCAAGGGCCUGGAGGUGCUGGAGCUGGGGGGUUGCAGCAACAUCACCAACACCGGCCUCCUGCUCAUCGCCUGGGGGUUGCAGCGCCUCAAGAGCCUUAACCUGCGCAGCUGCCGCCACCUCUCGGACGUAGGCAUCGGGCACCUGGCGGGCAUGACGCGCAGCGCGGCCGAGGGCUGCCUGGGCCUGGAGCAGCUCACGCUGCAGGACUGCCAGAAGCUUACGGAUCUUUCCCUAAAGCACAUCUCUCGAGGGCUGACCGGCCUGAGGCUCCUCAACCUCAGCUUCUGUGGGGGCAUCUCGGACGCCGGCCUCCUGCACCUGUCGCACAUGGGCAGCCUACGCAGCCUUAACCUGCGCUCCUGUGACAACAUCAGUGACACGGGCAUCAUGCAUCUGGCCAUGGGCAGCCUGCGCCUCUCGGGGCUGGAUGUGUCGUUCUGUGACAAGGUGGGGGACCAGAGUCUGGCUUACAUAGCCCAGGGGCUGGACGGCCUCAAGUCCCUCUCCCUCUGUUCCUGCCACAUCAGUGAUGAUGGCAUCAACCGCAUGGUGCGGCAGAUGCAUGGGCUGCGCACGCUCAACAUUGGACAGUGUGUGCGCAUCACGGACAAGGGCCUGGAGCUGAUUGCUGAGCACCUGAGCCAGCUCACGGGCAUAGACCUAUACGGCUGCACCCGAAUCACCAAGCGCGGCCUGGAGCGCAUCACGCAGCUCCCCUGCCUCAAGGUACUCAACCUGGGACUCUGGCAGAUGACGGACAGUGAGAAGGUCAGGGAUUGCUCUGAGUUUGCCUGGUGGAGUUGCCUUUACCAACCCAGGACAUUUGGCACUAUGUAAAGCCAAGUCUUCCAGUUGAGGCAGAAGAGAGAGCAAGCUUGAGAUCUUAACUGCAUAGCAGCAGAGUGGGGACAAGUGCCACAUAGCCUUAUAAAAACCCUUACAAGGACACUUGUACCUGUGAUAGUGGAAACUAGUGAGCGUCGACUGCAAGCAAGAGAAGGGCCUGCAGCAGCAGCAGCAGCAGCAGCGGCGCCCAGCGAGGCAGUGUCAGCUGGGACCUCGAUCUGCCGGGAGAACGCAGUCAUAACAGAGUGUUCAGUUUCUCUGUCUCCAAAUCUUUUUCCUCUAAACAUAGUAUAUAUGGUGCAUCUAAUUUUAUAAAUGGGGAAAGAGGCUUAAUAAGGUAAAAGAUUUUGCCUGAGUAAUAUGAGGAGUCAGUCAUAUUCUAGACUACAUUCUAGACAUAUUCUAGACUUUAAUAACUACAUCAGCAGGUGGCCAACAUGCAGGUAGCUCGCUGAGACCCUGCAAAGCACCACCUACCCCCUCUUUUGACAGGUGCGGCACUAGAGCCUGUUAUUUUUGCUGGGAGUGAAAAAAAAGUUUCAACUUUUAUUACUAUUUAAUUUAUUGCUAUUUAAUGUGUAUUACAUUAUACAAACUUAGAUAUGUUCUGCAAGCAUUAUGUAUACAGUUAUUUAAGAAGCCAAAAAACAGUGCAGGUUUUCAAAUGGUCUAUAAGUUCUUGAAGUGUCAAAUCUGUUGCUCUCAGAGGACUUGAGCCGGUUCCCAAAACACUGCUUUCUCACAAAUAAUAAUGUGGAGUACUAAUGCUAGAAGUCUACGCUUGUGAUAGCCUCAAAGCUAAGAACUUACUUACACACACUCAACACUACAAAUAUCUGUCAGACAAUCCUUUUAUAAAGUAGGAUUGAGUUGCAGGAACUCUAGCUAUUUUCCCUUCAUUCAAGGGUAAAAACGCUUGACUCGACAGAUGUUUUAGUUACAAAUCCCACUUGUCCAAAAGAGUGAGAGAGUCUAAUUUGUUAAUACCAGGCACCCUCUUAUGCUCGUGACUCCUCCAUUAUAUAUUUCACGCUCCAGAAGGAACAGGCUGCAACAUGGCUGCCUGUCAACAGUUACCACCCACAUCAUGGAGCCAAGAUGCUGGAACUGGCUGUGGGAAAACAGUUCUUUGACACCAGAUUAAUUUUUCAUAAAUAUUAAUAUGAAAUUAUUCAAUAUAGUUUGGAAAGCAUUGUUUUUCUCAUCUAAAAAGUAUAUAAGAAAAUAUUUACUACAAGCAUUCGUAAUAUUUCUCUUUAGGAAAUCUUGACCCCAAACUGGCAUCAUUUAUGUACACAUCUGCUUCUAUUUUCCAGCCCAAGGCACGGCUCUUUGAAAAGUGGUUCCUAAAUAGGGAGGAGCCAAAAAAAUUAGUCCUGAUGUUCCUCAGAAUCUCUAGAAUAAUCACUGAGGUUAAAACUGGCAGAUGGUAAGGGGAGAAACUGCAGCAGUUAAGCCUUUCAAAUAAAUGCUUAAUGUUCUCAGAUGGAAGACAGCCACUUCUACUUCCAAUAUUUUAAACCUUAACUUCACUGAUCGAAAAACCCACUGCUAUAAACUACCGAAGAGAGAGAGAGAGAGAGAGAGAGAGAGAGAGAGAGAGAGAGAUGGCCAAUAAGUGUAUCUUAAGCAAACAAUAUGAAAAUGACAAGAUGGAAGUGACAGUUUCUAGCAUUCCUAGUUCAUUUCAAAUGUGCAAAAUUUAGCCAAUCUUUUGGGAAUCUAUAAAAACAGGAUGGCUAAGUUCUGUGGCCCCCUGAACUUUAUCAGGCUCACUGCUGACCGCUGGAAGAAGCAGAGGUCUUCCAGUUUCGAGUAGAGAGAGAAGUGGCUCUCCCGCCCCAGCUGACGUCUGUGCACUUGAGACAGAUGCCCUGCCAUUGUGCUCUGAGUCAGAUGGCGACAGUCAGAACAGCAUGACCCGCAGGAAGGCAGCUGGCCUAUCUUUUUCCCACAAAGAAGGGUCCGAUUUUCAAUGGAAUCACAAGAGGUACUGCAGAAAUUCACUACAGUAAGUACAACACAGGACUUGGCAGCAAACAGCUUCAUCGCUGCUUACUUUAGAAAUGAAAAUGUAUGUGUGGGUGAGGAGGUAGAAGUCAAGCACUACACAUUAUUGAAAGGUAGGGUGGAAGAUUGUUCUUGUCUCCUUCUGGACUAUUCUUUGACCUACCCCAUCCCCUUAAAAAACAAAAACAAACCUAAAACCUAUCCCACCCACUCACACACACAAUUUAUCUUCCCCAUUGUGAGCUAUGAAUCAUGUCCAAACCUGUAUUAGAAGUAGCUAGGAGUCCAGGGUUGUGUUUUUCUUUACUCUAAGUUUAUGAAAAUGACUUUAGGAUCCAAUAUAAGACAGUAAAAUAAAGUAUGGUUAAUGUAAAACUAAGUAUUUGUUCUCCACUAUGGAACACAGAAAAAUUCAUUUAUCCCCAAAGUCUGCAAGCCCUUGUUUUGUCAGCAGGUGGCAGCAUUGCCUUGCGUUGGAGGCUGUUCCCACCGGGAGCCACACAACUUCCUUCCAUCCUACGACCCCCUUUGGUCACUGCCCUGCACGGCCCCCCAAAAGGGUUUCCUCAGGGUGUACGAGUUGGCAAGCAAGGAGUCUUACUCCCCAGAAAAGCUUUGCGCUAUCAGGGAAGUCGCUCCCAGGAGGCAGGUGGAGCGCUCUGGGGCGAGGCGACUCGCAGCCUGCUCACCGGCGCUCAGCCGCAGCUCUCUGCCUUGGCGGCUACAGGAAUCAAACGUCAAUUUUAGUUCUUCUUCUUUAAAAAAAAACAACAACUUCAAAAGUUCUAACUCUUCUUAAAUAUGAUUUCAUACUCACAAAUCCUUGUUAGAUUGCCAUGUUUGGGACCAGGAGAACAAACGGAGAAAAAUUUCAGUCAUACAUGGUGAUAUCAAUUUUAACAGCAAGAGUAAAAGAGCUAGCUUUUUUGUAAUUACAAAAGAGAAAUAGAAAGCAUAUUGUCUGUGAUGAAGAAUUCUAGAAGUCCUUUGAGGAAAAAUAAAAAUAUUUUUUAAAUUUUAGGAGCCUCUAUUUUUAUUUUUUAUUAUUAAAAGGAGUAUCUUUAUUGCCCAGAUAAAGAUAUCUUCAGAAAAUCUAAAGGAGUCUAUGAAAUUGAAAACAACAAGAGCCCUCAUAAGGUAGCAGAAAUAAUAAUAAUAAUUUUAUUUUUGUUAAGAGACAAGGUGUCACUCCGCUGCCCAGGCUGUGGUGCAGUGGUGCAAUCAUAGCUCACCACAGCCUGGAAGUCCUGGGCUCAGGUGAUCCUCCUGCCUU